rnacentral:lncRNA from 1 species
GCACGAGCACUCUACCACCAAAACUAAUGUCUUUCCUUCUUCCAUCAACUAUUAACUGUGAAAAUCCUCAGGGAAGAAUGGGGCCCCCUGAACUCCUGCCCCCUUCAGAGCAGGCUCAGUCUUGUGUACACAACACAGCGACUGUGAGUUUAAGAGAGCACCAGCCAUAUCGUACCAGGAGUCGGCGUUCUACACCACCUGCAUACAAACCACCUAACAUUCCUGCUGCCACUUCCAUGCUGCUUCUCAGUGGUUUCAGGAUGCAUCCAGUAUCAUCUUUAUUCCUUGGAUUCAGGGGGAGAACAUAAUCUCCAGUGUAAAGGGUCUAUUUCCUUGUCCAUGUAUUACAUUUCACUAAUCUACCACUUUGUUGUAGGCAAAGAAAAGUAAAACCAAAAUGCCAUCUUUGGUAAAGAAAUGGCAGAGUAUCCAGCGGGAGUUAGAUGAAGAAGAUAAUUCAAGUUCCAGCGAAGAGGACCGGGAAUCGACUGCACAGAAGCGAAUUGAGGAAUGGAAACAGCAGCAGCUGGUGAGGUAAGGAGUGCUGUCACAGAUGUGGGCAGAGGCGCAUGGUGUUACAGUCCUAAAGUUACAGCCCUUCAUGGAGAAUACACACGCUGCUUGGCUGAGAAACUUGAAACGUUUUCCUGAAUGGACGUGAGAUCCAAUUUUCAGUUUCAGAUAGAGUUUUUAUUUCUAAAAAAGUUUGGUUCUCUUUCUUUCCAAUGAA